AAGAUUUUAAGUUAAAAAAACUAUUAAUCUUCAAAAUUAAAAUUAAAUUAUUUUUAAAUCUUA
rnacentral:tRNA from 1 species